UGGGGAAUAUUGCACAAUGGGCGCAAGCCUGAUGCAGCCAUGCCGCGUGUGUGAAGAAGGCCUUCGGGUUGUAAAGCACUUUCAGCGAGGAGGAAGGGUGGUGUGUUAAUAGCACAUUGCAUUGACGUUACUCGCAGAAGAAGCACCGGCUAACUCCGUGCCAGCAGCCGCGGUAAUACGGAGGGUGCAAGCGUUAAUCGGAAUUACUGGGCGUAAAGCGCACGCAGGCGGUUUGUUAAGUCAGAUGUGAAAUCCCCGCGCUUAACGUGGGAACUGCAUUUGAAACUGGCAAGCUAGAGGCUUGUAGAGGGGGGUAGAAUUCCAGGUGUAGCGGUGAAAUGCGUAGAGAUCUGGAGGAAUACCGGUGGCGAAGGCGGCCCCCUGGACAAAGACUGACGCUCAGGUGCGAAAGCGUGGGGAGCAAACA
rnacentral:rRNA from 1 species